GACGAACGCUGGCGGCGUGCUUAACACAUGCAAGUCGAACGGAAAGGCCCUGCUUUUGUGGUGUGCUCGAGUGGCGAACGGGUGAGUAACACGUGAGUAACCUGCCCUUGACUUUGGGAUAACUUCAGGAAACUGGGGCUAAUACCGGAUAUGAGCUCCUGCUGCAUGGUGGGGGUUGGAAAGUUUCGGCGGUUGGGGAUGGACUGGCGGCUUAUCAGCUUGUUGGUGGGGUAGUGGCUUACCAAGGCUUUGACGGGUAGCCGGCCUGAGAGGGUGACCGGCCACAUUGGGACUGAGAUACGGCCCAGACUACUACGGGAGGCAGCAGUGGGGAAUAUUGCACAAUGGGCGGAAGCCUGAUGCAGCAACGCCGCGUGCGGGAUGACGGCCUUCGGGUUGUAAACCGAUUUCGCAUGUGACGAAGCGUGAGUGACGGUAAUGGGUAAAGAAGCACCGGCUAACUACGUG
rnacentral:rRNA from 1 species